GACCCCGUAGCUCAGCUGGAUAGAGCGGCUGUUUCCUAAACAGCAGGUCCCGUGUUCGAAUCUCGGCGGGGUCGCCA
rnacentral:tRNA from 2 species